rnacentral:rRNA from 1 species
AUUGAACGCUGGCGGCAUGCCUUACACAUGCAAGUCGAACGGUAACAGGUCUUCGGAUGCUGACGAGUGGCGAACGGGUGAGUAAUGCAUCGGAACGUGCCCAGUUGUGGGGGAUAACUGCUCGAAAGAGCAGCUAAUACCGCAUACGACCUGAGGGUGAAAGCGGGGGAUCGCAAGACCUCGCGCAAUUGGAGCGGCCGAUGUCAGAUUAGGUAGUUGGUGGGGUAAAGGCCUACCAAGCCGACGAUCUGUGGUUGGUCUGAGAGGACGACCAGCCACACUGGGACUGAGACACGGCCCAGACUCCUACGGGAGGCAGCAGUGGGGAAUUUUGGACAAUGGGCGCAAGCCUGAUCCAGCAAUGCCGCGUGCAGGAAGAAGGCCUUCGGGUUGUAAACUGCUUUUGUCAGGGAAGAAAUCCUCUGGGUUAAUACCCCGGGGGGAUGACGGUACCUGAAGAAUAAGCACCGGCUAACUACGUGCCAGCCGCCGCGGUAAUAC